rnacentral:rRNA from 1 species
GACGAACGCUGGCGGCGUGCUUAACACAUGCAAGUCGAGCGGUAAGGCCCUUUCGGGGGUACACGAGCGGCGAACGGGUGAGUAACACGUGGGUGACCUGCCCUCAGCUCUGGGAUAAGCCUGGGAAACCGGGUCUAAUACCGGAUAUGACUCCAUGACGCAUGUUGUGGGGUGGAAAGCCUUGUGCGGCUGAGGAUGGGCCCGCGGCCUAUCAGCUUGUUGGUGGGGUGAUGGCCUACCAAGGCGACGACGGGUAGCCGGCCUGAGAGGGCGACCGGCCACACUGGGACUGAGACACGGCCCAGACUCCUACGGGAGGCAGCAGUGGGGAAUCUUGCGCAAUGGGCGAAAGCCUGACGCAGCGACGCCGCGUGAGGA